rnacentral:rRNA from 1 species
CAGUAGCCGCGGGAAUACAGAGGGUGCGAGCGUUAAUCGGAUUUACUGGGCGUAAAGCGUGCGUAGGCGGCUUCUUAAGUCGGAUGUGAAAUCCCUGAGCUUAACUCAGGAAUUGCAUUCGAUACUGGGAAGCUAGAGUAUGGGAGAGGAUGGUAGAAUUCCAGGUGUAGCGGUGAAAUGCGUAGAGAUCUGGAGGAAUACCGAUGGCGAAGGCAGCCAUCUGGCCUAAUACUGACGCUGAGGUACGAAAGCAUGGGGAGCAAACAGGAUUAGAUACCCCCGUAGUCCCUGUCUCUUAUAC